rnacentral:rRNA from 1 species
UACGUAGGGUGCAAGCGUUGUCCGGAAUUAUUGGGCGUAAAGAGCUCGUAGGCGGUUUGUCGCGUCUGCUGUGAAAACGCGAGGCUCAACCUCGCGCCUGCAGUGGGUACGGGCAGACUAGAGUGCGGUAGGGGAGAUUGGAAUUCCUGGUGUAGCGGUGGAAUGCGCAGAUAUCAGGAAGAACACCUAUGGCGAAGGCAGCUCUCUGGGACGGUACUGACGCUGAGACGCGAAAGCGUGGGGAGCGAACAGG